CAGUCUCAUUCGAGAAAGGAGGUGCUAUGUAUGGGAGAACUGAGCUGCUACAUCCUUAUAUAUUUAUGUAUAGUCAAAAUACAUCGGCGGUUUUUAUACAGUUUCUACUUGCCAGAAAGCAGUGCUUGAAUAUUUGAAACUGUGUGCUGUUAUAUUUAGUGUCCUGGUUGUUAGAAUGUUCUUUUGCAGGCAACAUGUCAUAAUGUAGUCAUCCAUUUCCAUGAUUGUUAUCAAGUUACACUGUGAAGUUUGCAGUGUAUCAGGUUACACUGUUGAAGUGAUCAUCAAAGGCACGACUGCUUGGUGUUUAACCAAGGGUCUGAAAACCCCUAGAUCCAUCCAUGUUUGUUGCAAAUGGCAAGAUCUCUGGAUGAGAUUUAUAUUUCAACUGGUGGACUUUGAGUAAAGCAGAUUGCCAUCCAUACUGCAGCUUCUUCCUAGGGCUCUUGGGACAUUCUCUCUAGGAACCCUGAGAUGGCCCCAACUGCCAUGCUGGAAAGGCCACAAGAAGGUGUCCCCCUGAGUAAUCUGAAAUGCAUCCAGUCUUCAAGCCAUUUUCACCAAGGUGUCAGGCACUGAGUGAAGCUUUCUGGAACCCUCCAGAUCAGGCCAUCUGCCAGGAGUAUAAACCAUUGACACCAACAGGAGAGUCAAUCAAGCCUUGCCCAAACUCCUGAGCAAUAAAACUUUAAGAUAUACUA